UUGGGGUUCUGUCUUGUGACGUAGGGAUAAAGUAGAAUUGGGUCACUAUACUUAAUGUGAGUGCACUAUAUAUUUUAUCAAAUCACCCAGGAGUGAUACCCAAAAUAUAACCACCCUCCUAAAACACCCCUGACACCCUACACUUCCUAAAAUACACCCCGUAUGUGAAAACCGAGCCCGAAAUACAAUAUAUUAUUAAAAAUAAUCAAAAACAAGAAAAUAUAAGUUUAGGCGGGCCGCGACAACCCUCACCCUUAGUUUACGCGGGCCGUAUUAAGGUGUAACCGGAUUCCUUUAAUUUCACUAGUUCAGGCGGGCCGCGUACGACCCCGUUUAAGUUUAUGCGGGCCGCGAGAGUCCCAAAAGGUGGCGCAGCUCUGGGCCGCCACGUGGCCCAACACAUGUCGAAGCUAGAUAGUGACCCGGAUCACCUACGCUGUUGACCAGCAUUGACGCGGGCCGCGUAGACUUUGGUCUACCCUUACGCGGGCCGCGAGAAAACCCAGGUGAAGCACUAUAUAAUCAGGCCAUCGGAUCUUCAGUUGAAUUCGCUCACAAACGUUUCUUUCUCUCAAAAUUCUGAUAGUGGGCUUAUUAUACGCGGGUAUUAUACCCCCCUAAUUAGCAAAGCUCUGCCUCGUUACUAUAACAAGGGAAUCACAAAGGAAAGCCCUAUAAUAGCAAUUAUGACCGUAACUUAGUGUGAAGCCAAUAAAAGCCAGCUGGAGAGCACUGAAGGCUUGGAAAAGUGGCUAUAAAGUUACCUAAAAUAAAAUAGAUGUUUUUAUUAAUAAAAAUAGGAUUUAUUCCUAUGAAAGUGUGUAUACUGAAAACUUGGGUUUUACCCAUGUGUUUAAUAUUAUGAAAAUAUGGUGGUUUUACU
rnacentral:lncRNA from 1 species